AUUUAAAAUCUUCUUACAUAAAAAUUCGAAAAUAACCAUUGCGAUUUCCAAGAAAAAUGGCAACAGAGCGUAAUUUCUUUCUAUCUGGAUAAAAAUGGCUCUAAGAAGUUCUUUGCAAGCUACUGAGUUCAGUCAAAAUAAUCUAGUUCAGCAAUGGCACUCGAAUUACCGGACAGGCGACUUUCUGUCCCUUCUUAAACAACACUGGAGAGAGUAUGUCUUAGUUGCAUUCCAGUCGUUUGACGAUCCAGCUCGUGAGGAAAGGUUAACAAGCAAAUACCUGUUCAGCCCUCUUGAACACUUCCUUUGUAAUGGGGAACCAGAGGCUGUGUUCCAGCAGUUGAAAGAGAAAGACCAGCCAUCUCAGCUCUGUGGUCAUGUAUUUAAAAAUGGAGAGCCAACAUAUUCAUGCAGGGAAUGUGCAACGGAUCCUACAUGUGUGUUGUGUAUGGAGUGUUUCCAGACUUCUGUACACAAACAACACAGAUACAGGAUGAGUACCUCUGGUGGUGGGGGAUACUGUGACUGUGGAGAUGCUGAGGCAUGGAAGGCUGGGGUAUUCUGUGGCAAACAUCAACCUCAGUCAGGAGAGAUGGAAGAGAGUAAGAAUCCCAUGGAACUGUUACCAGAUGAUCUGACAGAUAGAGCAUCAGCAUUGUUUAUGGCAACCUUACGUUAUACAGUGGAGAUGUUGACAUGGGAACACAGUGACCGACUUCCUGACAACCUUCAGCCUGACGGAGAGCUCACUGACAACUACGUAUGCAUGCUGUUCAAUGAUGAAGUCCACACAUAUGAACAGGUGAUAAAUACCCUACAGCGUGCAGUGAGCUGUACACACAAGGAAGCUGUAGACUUUGCUACUACAGUUGACAGAGAGGGUAGAAGCACAGUUACAACAGGUUCCUUCUCCGACUGUGAAAAAGCUAGGAAUCUGAUUGAGAGGGACAACUCAGAAAUACAUAGGAGGUACACAUCUCGUCACAAUGCAAAGGCAUUGAAGGUACAGGUGAUGCAUACAGCAGUGGUUGCACAUCAACAGUUUGCCCUCCGUAUGAUACAGUGGCUCCAGAAUAUUAUAGCUCAGUCAGAUGGAUUACGUCGCCUGUUCUGUCUGCUAAGUAUGCAGCAACAAGAGAAUGAACAGUCAUUGAUGGAGAUACUGUUGUUAGCUGAUACACAACUGUGGAAAACUGCAAGAGUACAGAGUCACCAACUGAUGAUGGCAGGGGUUUUGAUGGAUCAGGAAUGUAAAAAGAAAUUUUCUAUAAUUUUUACAAAGCACUAUACCAAUCUGAUGAAGGCAUUUUGUAUGGAUGACCAUGAUCAUGAUGUCUCAAUCGCCUCGCUCUCCGUUCAAAUAUUUACUGUUAUAUCUCUGUGCUAUAACUCGCUUAUGAAGGAGUUUAUACUGGAUGACCAUUAUAGGACAGUCUCUGUAACGAAAAUGUCUGUACAAAUUUUCACAGUACCCACCUUGGCUCGACUAUUGGUAGCAGAACAUAACCUUCUUGCUGUGAUAUUACAAACAUUCUUACAGGCUUGUGAAGAGAAGAAGAACAAGGAUGGUAAACUAACAUUUGAGCGUGCAGGGACACAGACAUUUAAACGAGCUUGUUUCUCACUACAUGAUCUCAAAUAUGCAUUGAUAUGUAAACCAGGGCCUGGAGAAUGGACUGAUGAUUUACGGAAGAGUUUUAUAGAAGGUUUUGCAUGCUUUCUAGACCUCCUAAAGUUGAUUGAGGGCAUGGAUCAUGUCAAGAGACAGACAGGACAACAUCUGGAGUUUGAACCAGAAUGGGAAGGGGCAUUUAACUUACAGCUGAAAUUAGAAGAUAAUAUAGUGUUGUUUCUAGAGUGGUGUGGUAGUGAUAGGCAGGUAUUAAUAGAAGCUUAUAACAGAACUGUUGAGGUGUUCAAUAGCUGUAAGGAUAUUGACAGAUCAAAGAAAUGUCAAGUUUCAGUGAGUGAAUGGAAUGCAAGUUGUAUAAAAUAUGAUGUAAGCAGUCAGCCUAUCUCCAUACAUCUUCCUGUCACCAGGUUAUUGGCUGGUCUCCAUUCCUUUCUUGGUCAACAUGGGUUGUAUUUUGAAUCUCCUGACUGUUCUCUUGUUAGACCUGACCCUGCAGAGUUGAUAGAACUACCUCUGAGAGUUGAGGUGAUGGUAGCACAGUCUAAUGCCAAUAUGUGGAGAAGAAACGGCUACGCUCUAAUAAACCAGAUAUUUUUCUACCAUAAUGUGAAGUGUAGAACAGAAAUGUAUGACAGAGAUAUUCUCAUGCUACAGAUUGGAGCUUCUAUGGCAGAUGGAAAUGAGUUUUUGAUACAUUUGCUCUACAAGUUUGGUCUGACUGCCUGGGCAAAAGAGCAGUAUGAUAUACCGAGUGGACAAGAUGAUUCUCUAAGACAGACUGUUUUACUGGCAGAGGAAUUCCUUAAUCUCGUUGUGAUAGUUCUAAGUGAGCGGUAUAUGAUCGGAGUUGGGGAUGUUACUCGUGCAGAUAUUGUUAGAAGGGAGGUAAUUCAUCAGCUAUGUAUAUCUCCUCUAGCUCACAGUGAGCUAGCAAAGGCUCUGCCUGAAGAUACCAAUCAUGAAACUGGGCUAGAAGAUGUUGUGAAAGAUGUUGCCAACUUCAAGAAAGUCACAGUAGGAAAGGGAUCUCAAGGUGGAAAAGGAAAGUACGAGUUGAAACCAGAGUUCCUGUCCAGCUAUAAUCCUUACUUCUACCAUUAUACCAAAACAGACAAAUCAAAGUCUGAGGAAGCACAGGUAAAGAGAAAGAAAGAGAACAAUGAGAGCCAGGCUUUACCCCCUCCAGUGCCUCCAAAAUUUCAACCUCAGUUUGCCCCCAUAGUGAACCUCCUACAGUGUGAUGUCAUGAUCUACCUCAUGGAAUUGAUUCUGUCCCGUGCAGCGGCUUCAAGGUCAAGGUCACUGUCAGAAACACAGCUUGAGAGGAUUCUGCACUUGAUUGGGUUAGCCCUACAUGAACAGAGACGUGCAAUCACUGAUGGAAAUAAUAGUUUCGACUUCCUUUCCAAGGCCUGUGGCCAACUUAAGGAUGGUGGACAUGCCAGAAAAGAUGGCAAGUGUAUACAGUCACUUCUAGAUGGUAUAGUGAACAGUCAUAACUUCACACAUGACAGCAUUAGAGAUUUAGUCACCUGGACAAUCAAGACGUUAUCCGAGGUAAGACAAAUGAAGAAUGAACCAGUUUCCAUGGAAACAGUAGAGAAUGUGUCUUCACCGAGGGAUGAGAAAGCUAAAGCUGCUAGAGAGAAAAAGAGAGUUGCAGCUGAAAAAAGACGGCAAAAAAUCAUGGCUCAGAUGUCACAAAUGCAGAAAAACUUUAUAAAAGACAAUGCUGAGCUGUUUGAAAACACAAGCACAGAACUGUUCCCCAGGAUUGACUCAGAUAUGGAUCUCAGUGAGGCAGAUACUAGUUCAUUCCCAAUAGCUGUAGGUCCGCACAGGACUCCCCCUGGACAGACAGCGUCACUGUGUGGCAUGUGUAUACUGUGCCAGGAAGAACAGGAACUUACACUCUCUAAUAGAGCAAUGGUUCUUACUGCAUUCAUUCAAAAGUCUACAGUUCUUGCACUGACUCGUGGCAAUGCUCUUCUACAUGGUGAAGAACAUGAUCCAUUAUUGAUGAGAUCAGAUUUAAGGACUGGGUCACAUACAAGUUCUUGUGGUCACAUGAUGCAUGCAGAUUGCUGGCAAACGUUUUUUGAUGCAAUAUUGGCGCGUGAGAGAAGACGUCCACUGAGAUUUCGGCAUAAUUUUAGCUAUGAUAUAGAGAAGAUGGAGUUUCUAUGUCCACUGUGUGAAUGUAUAAGCAAUUCUGUGAUACCUGUUCUUCCUGCAAUAUUCCCUUCAACUCAACCAAGCCCCGACAGUUCUAAUCAUCUACAUUUCCAUGACUGGUUGGAUGGCAUACAUAAAACAGUUAUCAACAGUGUCAAAGAGUCAGAAGACUUUGAUGAUGCAGAGUAUCAGACCUGUCCAUUGACAACAGUCACCAAACAGAUGGCAGAGAAUGUAGCACAGAAAUUCCAGGCCCUGUGGUCCUGCAUACAGGAUGCUGGGGCCAGUGCGGGGCUUUCAUCAGAACAUAGAGAAAUGCUAAGGAAGUUUUCAAGGGAUGCAUAUUCUUUUGGUCUAGGAGUAGAUCCAGAUGAUGACAACUCUCGAGUCUCUAUCAUGGUUUGGAAUACUUGUGCCUUCUCCAUACAGAGCAUUGAACAAAUCCUGAGAGAUGAGUGUAAACCAUUGUUUGGUCAGAUGUCCAGUAGACAGAGUGACUGCCUGCGGUCAUUGGUCAAGGUAGCUGCUGCCUACAGUCCAGCCAUUAAUACAGACAUUGUCAAACAACAUUGUAUAAGACUUCUGUCAUUCCUGUUCCCAGAUGCAUGUAAAAAUAAGAAGACAGAGCAGUGUGUCCUAGAUGUUGACAUGUUUCACUACCUUGUUGCCUUGGUGAUGUCAUUACCCAGUCUGCACCUGGAUACAUCUGUGGCUCCCACUAACUACCUACAACUGCCCUCUGGUGGUGAUAAUGACCUGCAUACCCUACACCUAGUGAUGGCUGUACACCUUAUACAGAUACUGCUGCUGUUUGAUCAGGAAAGCUCUGGUAUGGAAGUGGAUGGAGAUUAUGAAGGAGAGGCUCUUCUUAUCAUCUAUAAUAAAAUACAUUCACUGGCAAACAUUCAGAAGGAAAAUCCACCAUUACCAUGGCAACUGUCAGUACAUGUGAGAAAAGCCAUGCUACCGUUUUUACGAUGUUCAGCCUUACUUUACCAUAAUCUCACAGGAGUUGCUGCCCCUGCUGAACUUUCAGAGACAACUGAAGAGUAUCUUAACAAAGAGUUUGACCUUCUCUGUAGAUAUCUUGGACUUAAUUUCCACAUGUCAAGAUUGGUGGAUAACCAUGGGGAACUUAUGGACAGUCUGAUAACAAGGUGGUGUAAGAAUACUGUACUGAAGGAUACAUUAUCUGCCUCUAGUCAGCCAUUGGUUCAGUACCCACUGAGGAUCAACAAACUGAUAUCUCUACCUGAAGAUUACAGUGAACUCAUUAAUCGGGUGUCUGCUUUCACAUGUCCAAAAUCUGAUGGAGAUGAUAGUCGAGCACCAACCAUGUGUCUAGUAUGUGGUCAGAUGUUGUGUUCACAGAGUUACUGCUGUCAGACUGAGUUUGAAGGAGUCACUGUAGGAGCUGCGACAGAACAUGCUUAUAAAUGUGGGUCAGGGGCAGGCAUUUUCCUCAGAGUACGUGAAUGUCAGAUACUGUUGCUGGCAGGUAGAACUAAGGGAUGUUUCGUACCACCACCAUAUAUUGAUGCUUAUGGUGAAACAGAUCAGGGACUUCGACGAGGUAAUCCACUACACCUGUGUAAGGAGAGUUAUGAUCACCUACAGAAGUUAUGGAUGUCACAUGCUAUACCAGAGACUAUUGCUCACAAUCUCGAAUCCAAUGCAACUUUACUCACCAUUGACUGGCAACAUCUAUGAUACUGUAGCAUCUAGAACAGCUUCUUCAACAGUUUGCAGGCUCAACUUGAAAUAGACACUCCAGUUUGAUUUUCAUGCUAGAUGCAUGUAGGGUUGGAAAAAAUGCUGUAACUGUUAUUUAUAGAGGGAAGAAUAUUUCCUAAGUUGUGAUUAAGGAUGUUCCCUCACCUUUGCUGUAUGAUCAGACAAUUCCUGUCAUAAUUAAAGUGGCAUCCCUCCAGAAGUAUGUCAGUUUAUUGGUUUGUAAGUAGAAGGAAAAUAUCAAGUUAUUCAGUGAAUUUUUAUCCAAUUUUGCAUAAUAUCACUCAUUAAGUAUGUGAAGUAAGUUGAAAAGUACUCUACCAAUUAGACUUGCAGCUGAUUUGAUGUUAAAAAAGAACAAAAUUAGCAGUACAUGUAUUGUUUAUCAUAAACAUAUUUUUUGACUGCUAUCGGUUUACAAAAAUUUGAUGUUGUAACGUGUAUAGACAUCAGGAGGCAGGACUCUUUAAAGUGAAGCUGACCUAGCUUUGAAACCAGUAUUUAACAACUCAGCUGUUACCAUUGUCAAAUAGUGGUAUAUUUCAAUUGAAGUUUGACACGUUAUUCAGUGGUCGUUUUAUUUAGAUAAAUAAAACUGUUACAUUCUGUCAUAGCCAUUGAGAAGUGACAGUAGCAGUAAGGAUUAAAGGUAAAAGUUGUUAAGUGUAGUAAUUGAAGAAUAAGAGCAUAUUAGCGAGUGUGUGAUACAGGCGAGUGUGUGUGAUACAGGCGAGUGUGUGUGAUACAGGCGAGUGUGAUACAGGUGAGUGUGCGAUACAGGCGAGUGUGUGUGAUACAGGCGAGUGUGCGAUACAGGCGAGUGUGAUACAGGCGAGUGUGUGAUACAGGCGAGUGUGUGAUACAGGUGAGUGUGUGAUACAGGCGAGUGUGUGUGAUACAGGCGAGUGUGUGAUACAGGCGAGUGUGCGAUACAGGCGAGUGUGUGAUAUAAGUGAUGUAAAAAAAAAAAGGUCAGAUAUGAUUGCUAUGAUUGUUAGGCAGAUUGAUAAUGAAUUAUGUAUGAUCUAUUUAAAGGUGGUGGAAAGCUAUCAAAGAUGAACAAUAAACUUGAUACAGAAGUGAAAAUGAUACGAAGUCUUGAAAAAAUGAAAUAAAAGUUGAGUUUGAAUUGUAUUUAAUGGAAUAUUUUGUUGGGGUUGUUACAGCUUUGAAGCAUCUUUUACCAGUUUGAUAUUAAAACAUCCUGUGUAUUACAUAAGUAGUAUCAGCUGACAUUCAGUGUUAUACAAGCCUGCUAGUAAAUGCGUUCCUAUGAUGUUUUUGUGACACUGCACAUUAAUUGCAAAUCUUAUGAAUUAAUAAUAUGCAGUUGACCUUUGAUAUUAAGCAUAUUACAUUAGCCCAGAUAGUUCAUAUAUUUUUGUUACUGAGAAGUUUUGUAUUAAGAUUAUUUUUUUUCAUUUAUUGUCUUUAUUUUACCUAAAUGUGUAGGACAAUUGCUGUCGAUGGUUGGUAGGUCAAGGUCAUAGUGAUUUCCGAACUGAAAACGGUUUCCACUCAGUUAUAAAGGAACACUGGCUGUCAGACUUCAUAGGGUGGUUGUCUUUUAACAGUUAAUGGUACUGUCCAAAUUGAAAGAUGGACAAGUUCAUUUUACAUUUAGCAGGGGAUGGGUUAAAGUAUGUAUGGUAGUCACAGGCUGAUUAGACUGAGGUUGGUUUAAGAAGUAUUUGUUUAGUAAGAUUUUCUUAAGAAAUGAAUUCAAGUAAUUGUGGUAGACUGAACAGCUUUGUAUGCAAACAUGUCAUGCAAAAUCAAAAUGGAUUUCAGGUAAAAGCUUGUUUGAUUUUAACAGUUUACUACUUUUUCUGUUUGUUUCCCAUGUUAGCAUAGAUGUACCUUAAUGGACUGUUUGUAAAUUAGGUAGUCUUUAGCUUACCGCUUGUAAAUAAUGAAAUGAAAUCAUCCUUAGAAAUGACCUGUUCUGUUUUAUCAAGGAUUGUUAUUUAUAGUUGAACUUUGUGCUGUACUCUCAUGUUCUCUCUCAUUUAGGAUGUGUCUGUUUACUAGGUGAUAAGUUAGAUGAAUGUAUUUCUCAUGGUGUCAUUUAUUUAAGUAUUGUAAGAACAAAGCCUUUGGCUAUAUUACCUUUCCCUGCUACAGAAGUGCUGUUAUAAAGUUAGCCAUGUUUCUGAACUUUAUAAUUAACAAAGUCCAGUAAAUAAGUGAUAUUUUCUGUUACAUAUUUGAAGCAGCAUUUCUGUGUGGUUACUGCCUACAUCGGCUACCUGAAAAUCAAGGAGAAGCUUAGUUGUUAGAGCUCACUGUAUUAUCUCUAUUAGACAGAACACCUAGGGAUGUACUGUCAAACCUUUGCUUAAAGACUGCUACGAACAGAAGACAUUUGGCUGUAGAUACCCUUUGUUUCAGUUCUAAUUUAAGCAUUUGCAGUAUAUUUUUACCAGUGAGUAAAGACCCUAUGCACACCACUUUUUUUUACUCUUCAGAGGGUGGUCUUUAUAAACAUCUUUUUCUAUAUAAUCUUCACUGCCUUUUUCAUAAUUAUUUCUGUAUUUAAUAUUAACAGUGCAUAACUUAUUUAAUACAUAUACACCUUUGAAUUACUGUACCUCAAUAUGGGAGAAUGAAUAAAUCACAGUUGGUAACUUGGUAUGCAUUUUUAGCUCACCUGUCACAAAGUGACGAGGUAAGCUUUUAUGAUCGUGCAGCGUCCGUCGUCCGCCCAUAUGUCCGUCCGUAAACUUUUGCUUGUGACCACUCUAGAGGUCACAUUUUUCAUGGGAUCUUUAUAAAAGUUGGUCAGAAUGUUCAUCUUGAUGAUAUCUAGGUCAAGUUCGAAACUGGGCCAUGUGCGGUCCAAAACUAGGUCAGUAGGUCUAAAAAUAGAAAAUCCUUGUGACCUUCCUAGAGGCCACAUUUUUCAAUGGAUCUUCAUGAAAAUUGGUCAGAAUGUUCACCUUGAUGAUAUCUAGAUUAAUUUUAAAACUGGGUCAUGUGCGGUCAAAAACUAGGUCAGUAGGUCUAAAAAUAGAGCAACCUUUUGACCUCUCUAGAGACCAUACUUUUCAAUGGAUCUUCAUGAAAAUUGGUGAAAAUGUUCACCUUGAUGAUAUCUAGGUCAAGUUCGAAACUGGGUCACGUGCAGUCAAAAACUAGGUCAGUGCAUCAAAUAAUAGAAAAACCUUGUGACCUCCCUAGAGGCCAUAUUUUUCAAUGGAUCUUCAUGAAAAUUGGUCAUAAUGUUCACCUUGAUGAUAUCUAGUUCAAGUUCGAAACUGGGUCACGUGCCUUCAAAAACUAGGUCAGUAGGUCAAAUGAUAGAAGAACCUUGUGACCUCUGUAGAGGCGAUAUUUUUCAUGGGAUCUGUAUGAAAGUUGGUCUGAAUAUUCAUCUUGAUGAUAUCUAGGUCAAGUUCGAAACUGGGUCAGAUGCAGUCAGAAACUAGGUCAGUAGGUCUACGUCGUCCGUGUGUAAACUUUUGCUUGUGACCACUCUAGUUUAAGAUCCAGCCUUGAAAUUUGGAUGACAUGUACAGUUUUGCACACCAAUCUUUAAACUGUCUUUCAGUGACCAUAAAUGUGACCUACUGAUCUACUUUCUAAUAUUUUAGCAUCAGUUUGCCAUUUGAAACUUGUGGUUCAAUAUACUCAGGUGAGCGAUUCAGGGUCAUCAUGACCCUCUGUUAUACUAAAACAUAGAAAUUAAUUCAUAAAAGUUAAUUACGAGUUAAACGGUUUAAAACAUGAAAAAUGUGUUUUCAGUAACAUUAAUAAACCAGCAAAAUCAUUUCAUCUAAUUGUAUAUUUACUGAAGAGCAAAAGAAACUAUCCAGUUUUAUAACUGGGGUAUUUUUUAUUCAAAAAUUUUAAUUUAUAAAUCACUUGUGUUUUUCAUAUCGCAUUACACUUGUAGAACUUCACGUGUAAAAUUUUAAAAAAUCAAUCAACCGUGAAGUCAGCAGUCUAACAAUAGCCGUUUUGCACGAAAUUCUCACCACCUGUAAUUUACAAUUUUCUUUGUGAAAUUUUAUUGUCAUUGUAAAUAUUGAUAAUUGGCUAACUCGAAAAAUAGCAUAAACUUUUAAAAAUGUUGUUGGUUGCACCGCACGACUGAAUCAAAUUUAGCACGAGCUCCCAAUUGGGAUGUUACAAUGCAACUGAUGCGCAAAAGAUAUAGCCUUUCAAAUGGCUAUUGUGGGACUACUGACUUCACGGUUGAUUGAUUUUAAAAAAUUUAUCACCUGAAGAUCUUCAAGUGUAAUGUUGGUAUGAAGAAACAAUUCAAAUUUGAGAAAUUAAUUUUAUUUCAAAAUAUACCAGUUAUACGUCUGGAUAGUUUCUUUUGCUGUUCAGUAUAUAUAUUUUUAAGGUAGUGUUGAAUCUCUGACACUGUUACCUUUUAAACUAUUUUACUGGAAAAAGAACCUUGGCUUCUGCUUCCACUAUAUAUUUGGUUGAGCAUGUGAUAUCUGAAUUUAUAGUUCACUUCUUCAGUCCUUACUGUAUAGGCAUUACACCUCAUGUUUUAUUACAUUACCAGGCUGUAUAUUAAUGAUUUAUUUGUUAUUUUGAAUUGUAUAUUUACGAAGCUCUGUGUAAGUAAAUGGUCAUAACCCUGUAAGUUAUUAUCCUGUACACUUUAUUUGUUAUUUGAUUAAUGUAUCGAUGUACUGAAAAUGAUUGAUAAAAAUUGCUUGGAAA